rnacentral:ncRNA from 1 species
GAGAGCCCGGUGCGCUGAAAGGCGCACGCCGGGUUCGGGAAGCGGCCCGGGAAAACGGACCAGCCCCACGGCUGGCACCGCGACCCGGGCCGACUUCAC